AGCGGCGGACGGGUGAGUAACGCGUGGGUAACCUGCCCUAUACACACGGACAACAUACCGAAAGGUAUGCUAAUACGAGAUAAUAUAAGAGAUUUACAUGGAUUUCUUAUCAAAGCUGAGGCGGUAUAGGAUGGACCCGCGUCUGAUUAGCUAGUUGGUAAGGUAACGGCUUACCAAGGCGACGAUCAGUAGCCGACCUGAGGGGGUGAUCGGCCACAUUGGAACUGAGACACGGUCCAAACUCCUACGGGAGGCAGCAGUGGGGAAUAUUGCACAAUGGGCGAAAGCCUGAUGCAGCAACGCCGCGUGAGUGAUGAAGGCCUUCGGGUCGUAAAACUCUGUCCUCAAGGAAGAUAAUGACGGUACCUGAGGAGGAAGCCCCGGCUAACUACGUGCCAGCAGCCGCGGUAAUACGUAGGGGGCUAGCGUUAUCCGGAUUUACUGGGCGUAAAGGGUGCGUAGGUGGUCUCUUAAGUCAGGAGUGAAAGGCUACAGCUUAACCGUAGUAAGCUCUUGAAACUGGGAGACUUGAGUGCAGGAGAGGAAAGUGGAAUUCCUAGUGUAGCGGUGAAAUGCGUAGAUAUUAGGAGGAACACCAGUAGCGGAGGCGGCUUUCUGGACUGUAACUGACACUGAGGCACGAAAGCGUGAGGAGCAAACAGGAUUAGAUACCCUGGUAGUCCACGCCGUAACGAUGAGUACUAGGUGU
rnacentral:rRNA from 1 species